CACGUAGGGCGCAAGCGUUGUCCGGAAUACUGGGCGUAAAGCGUGCGCAGGCGGUGAUGUAAGACAGGUGUGAAAUCCCCGGGCUUAACCUGGGAACUGCAUUGUGACUGCAUUGCUGGAGUGCGGCAGAGGGGGAUGGAAUUCCGCGUGUAGCAGUGAAAUGCGUAGAUAUGCGGAGGAACACCGAUGGCGAAGGCAAUCCCCUGGGCCUGCACUGACGCUCAUGCACGAAAGC
rnacentral:rRNA from 1 species